rnacentral:rRNA from 1 species
CCUACGGGUGGCAGCAGUGGGGGAUAUUGCACAAUGGGGGGAACCCUGAUGCAGCGACGCCGCGUGUGGGAAGACGGUCCUCUGGAUUGUAAACCACUGUCCCCAGGGACGAAAAUGACGUUACCUGGGGAGGAAGCUCCGGCAAACUACGUGCCAGCAGCCGCGGUAAUACGUAGGGAGCGAGCGUUGUCCGGAAUUACUGGGUGAAAAGGGAGCGUAGGCGGGGAUGCAAGUUGGGUGUCAAACCUACCGGCUAACCUGUUAGUCGCACUCAAAACUGCCGCUCUUGAGUGAAGUAGAGGUAGGCGGAAUUCCUAGUGUAGCGGUGAAAUGCGUAGAUAUUAGGAGGAACACCAGUGGCGAAGGCGGCCUGCUGGGCUUUUACUGACGCUGAGGCUCGAAAGUGUGGGGAGCAAACAGGAUUAGAUACCCUGGUAGUC